rnacentral:rRNA from 1 species
GACGAACGCUGGCGGCGUGCUUAAUACAUGCAAGUCGGACGAUGAACCCGGAGCUUGCUCCGGUGGAUUAGUGGCGAACGGGUGAGUAACACGUGAGUAACCUGCCCUUGACUCUGGGAUAACUGCGGGAAACUGUAGCUAAUACCGGAUACGACCCUCGGCGGCAUCGCCAGGGGGUGGAAAGAAUUUCGGUCAAGGAUGGACUCGCGGCCUAUCAGCUAGUUGGUGAGGUAACGGCUCACCAAGGCGACGACGGGUAGCCGGCCUGAGAGGGUGACCGGCCACGCUGGGACUGAGACACGGCCCAGACUCCUACGGGAGGCAGCAGUGGGGAAUAUUGCACAAUGGGCGCAAGCCUGAUGCAGCAACGCCGCGUGAGGGAUGACGGCCUUCGGGUUGUAAACCUCUUUUAGUAGGGAAGAAGCGAAAGUGACGGUACCUGCAGAAAAAGCACCGGCUAACUACGUGCCAGCCGCCGCUGUAA